rnacentral:rRNA from 1 species
UUAAACUCAAGAGUUUGAUUCUGGCUCAGGACGAACGCUGGCGGUGUGCUUAAUACAUGCAAGUCGA